CACAGCAUGGCCAUGAGGGUCUCUGCGCAGUUCCUGGGGCUCCUGCUGCUCUGGCUGCCAGGUGUGAACUGUGACAUCCAGAUGAUCCAGUCUCCACCUUCCCUGUCUGCAUCUCUUGGAAACAGAAUCACCAUCUCCUGCAGAGCCAGUGAGGACAUUCAGGGCUUUUUAAGUUGGUAUCAGCAGAAACCAGAGGACUCUCCUAGGCUCCUGAUCUAUGCUGCAAGCAGUUUGGCAUCAGGGGUCCCACCAAGAUUCAGCGGCAGUGGGUCUGGGACAGAUUACACUCCCAGCAUCAGCGACCUGCAGGCUCAAGAUUCUGCCACUUAUUACUGUCUGCAAUACUAUCAGAGCCCUCCCACAGUGAUAUGA